rnacentral:lncRNA from 1 species
AUGCAGUGGAUAAAGAACCUAAGGUCCCCAUUCCCAUCACAAAAAACCCAGGAUAAAGACAGACUUGAAUCAAGACAUCCAAUCACUGGGACAUGUGAAAGGUUCUCUUUGUACGACAGAUUCCACCAAAAAAAACAAAAACGGCCAGAAGAGAAGUUGCGAAGCCUUAACAUCUGCCCCAACCUGAGAACAGAGGUGAACUCAUCUGUUGCAGAGCAGUUCAAUCGUGAACUUGCUUCUGUGAGGUACUCAUUGUGCCAAAUGAAAGAGCCACAUUUUAAGCAGACAGUAAGGGUGUUCAUUGAUCUACACAAUGAAAAGAUUAACAGGAGUUUUAAGGCAGAAAUGGAGGCCUUGUGCAACAUGGAGUUAUCCAUUGGCCUGCAUGGGAUGCUGGGACUGCAGUCAGCUGAGGGGAAGGUUGGAAAUGUCAACAUACAACCUGACAGCGUUGUGAAGUCUUCCUUCUUGGCUCAAUCAUAUGACAUUGACGAUAAGGACAAGGAAAAACUCAAGAAGUUAUUAUGUGGAUCUCGUGAUGAAAAUCAAGCCCUGACUCAUUCCACAAGAAGAUACCCUGUGUCCAUUAAGGAUAUGCGCAGUGUUUGCCCACUCGAGUUGUUGGCAGAGUCUUCACUGGCUAUGCCAUGGCUGACAGAUGAUGCUGUCAACUAUCGCAUAGCACAGCUGGCUCAAGAAAACAUGGAAUGGACAAAGACUGGAGCUGUCGGAGACAACUUUGUGAAACACAUCCCUGUGUCUGACAAAAUCUUCCUGCCCAGGAUUGUAGGUCAUUCCUCUCCAGAGACAGGGAACCAUUUUAUUCUUUGGGUGUUUGACUUCAGAGCCAAAGACAUUCGGGUCUACGAUUCACUUGGGCUUUAUGCAAACAUAAGCGACAAUGACAUGGACCUCCUCAGAAAUGUCUUCAGAUUUUCUGGCGGCCUUCAAGGAUGGAGUGUGACAUAUCCUCCACAGUGGAAGCAGCAGGACUCGGUUAAUUGUGGAGUUUUCGUGUGUUCUGCAGCUGAAAAUGAAAUGCAACAUGUUGCAGUCAGUAUAGAGGCUCUGACUCUCAACCAGUGCAGGACUCUGCGGCUGCAUCAUGCUACCCAAAUGAUCAGAAAUGUCAAUGCUGAGGACUUCCCACUUACUACAGGAGACAAAUUAAAAAUGGAAGAAAAGGAAAGUAAAUUACAGGAAUCUGAAGCCAAAAAAACUGACUCCAGCAGCCAUUGCCAGGCUUGGAAAACAGAGUCGUGUUUGUUCCAGCGAGCAACAGGGACAACCAAUGUUUUCCAUAACCACAUAAAGAAAUACCAGUGGGUCCAAUGCUCAUCUUGCAAAAACUGGCUGCAUUUCGAGUGUGCUGGUGUAGAAGGAGACUGGACAUCAAAGGAUUUCUUUUGUGGAUGCAACAAUAUCCCAGAUAUAGACAACAUCCUGGAGGCUGUUAAAGCAGAAGACCUUAUGACAGAUGAAGAGAUCACGGUGUUGAUUCAGUGGUUGCAAGGCAACAGCAACAUGUGUCGUUACCAAGCAGAAUCUGUGCUUCUAACCACCACACCUUCAAAGACAAAGAAAGGAGCUGCAAGAAAUGAAACAGAGACCACCGAAGAGGAAAACCUUCUGAUCCUACAUAGCCUGGCUGCAGCUGACUGGUGCGAUAAGGCAACAUUCAAUGGAGGACUGAAACUCCCUGCUGUCCUUUCAAUGGACAGAGAAGAAAGAAAAGAAGCCAUCCAGGAGAUGGACACCUGGGAUGGGGAACUGGAUCAGGAUUCUCCAGCAGAACUCUUUACAUUUGUUUUUGAAAAAAAAAAAAGACUACGACAACUUCUAUGAACAACGUGUGGAUAAAUUUUUUUUUUGACUGUUU